UGGCAGGCAAGGUUUUCAGGAUGUGAAAUAUUAUCCCAACUUGGUUCCCACCUUUAAAUGAGAGCAGGUUUGUCUCUCCAAAGAUCUUUAUCCAGAUUUCUUUACCUACAUGAAAUUCGUUUCAGAAAGAUCCAGCCAAGGACUGAGAAUAAAAUGCCUGUCUCUUUAAAUAUCCAGUCACAGGAAAUGAUCCUUAUAUGGCACAGAUGUUGA
rnacentral:lncRNA from 1 species